UAAAAAAAAAGUUGCGUACUUGUGUGCCCAACAAUAAUCCGUUUUUAGCAUAUUUUUAAUCAGUAUUUCUAUGGAUAUACAGGAUGACAACUAUUUUACUACGAUGUUGCGCUCGGUCGUAAAUAUUUUUUUUACUUUAGGGCAAGAAUUUGGGCAAUUGCUUCUGGCAGAGAAGAUUUGAUAACAAAGGAGAACCUCCAUACUCUUUCUUAUAAAAUUUGUGGGAGGCAUUUUGAAAACAAGAUGUUUCUAAACGAUUUACACAACAGACUACAACAAAAUGCAGUGCCCACUUUAUUCGCAGCGCUAGAAGGCACAUCUUCAGAUUCAACCAGAAAAAUAUGCCAAGAUUUAGAUGAAUCUUUUCCGCAUUCAUCCGAUAUGACCUCUGUUAUAACUUUUUCUCCAACGCUAGAAGACACAUCUUCGCAUUCAACGAAAGAAUUAUGUCAAGAUGAAACUUUACCACAAUCAUCCGAUGUAGCUUCUGUAGGUACUUUGUUUCCUGCACUAGAAAGCACAUCUUCGCAUUCAAC